rnacentral:rRNA from 1 species
GGGGAAUCUUGCGCAAUGGGCGAAAGCCUGACGCAGCGACGCCGCGUGAGCGAUGAAGGCCUUCGGGUCGUAAAGCUCUGUCAGAGGGGACGAUAAUGACGGUACCCUCAGAGGAAGCCCCGGCUAACUACGUGCCAGCAGCCGCGGUAAGACGUAGGGGGCUAGCGUUGUCCGGAAUUACUGGGCGUAAAGGGCGUGUAGGCGGCCAGGAAAGUCAGUGGUGAAACACCUGGGCUCAACCCAGGUAUUGCCGUUGAAACUGUCUGGCUUGAGGAUAGAAGAGGAGUGUGGAAUUCCCGGUGUAGCGGUGAAAUGCGUAGAGAUCGGGAGGAACACCAGUGGCGAAGGCGGCACUCUGGUCUAUACCUGACGCUGAGGCGCGAAAGCUAGGGAAGCAAAC